rnacentral:piRNA from 1 species
UGCCAUGUUGUGUUGACUUUGAACACCUG